ACCAGCCCACCACGGCACGUUGUGAGGUCACCCACAGGCUCGACUUUCGAUUGUGAUCCUUGACGCCGAGCAAGCACAAUGCGUGUCGCAGAUGUUCCUAACCAGGCAACGUGUUGCCAGGAUCGUGGAACGACACGCGCUCAACAGUCAGGAUCGGGCGGAGACAGAGUUCUGGUACGAUCCUCUUGCGACGAGCCGGCUUCUGGCCAACUUCCGAUGCUCAGGUCUCCCGCAUGUGCCGCGGGAGAUCGCCUUGACGGUCUGGAGCUUAUACAAGUCCUCUCUUAGUCGGGCAACGGAAAGAGUGGUGUAAAGUCCAAGCCCAUCGGUCACGUCUCGAAACACGGGCCAAGGAGUAUAGCAUGUGUGCAAGUCUAAGAGUCUCACAAAACUUGAAGGCAAAGUGAAAGCAAGUAAGCGGCGGGUGAUCUACGGAGAGAUCCCGUCAGCUAGAGGGUCCUUCGGGGCCCUCCGGCUUUGGCAGAGUCGAUCCUGCAGUGGUACCGAAUACGUAUGCUCAGGCGCAAACUCCAGGCUCACGUUUCGCACUGGUUCUCGGACUGUGCUGUGAGCACUGUGGAGCAUGCAUGCUAUGACCCGAAAGAUAGUGAACUAUGCCUGGCGAGGGCGAAGCCCCAGGAAACUGGGGUGGAGGCCCGUAGCCGUUGUGACGUGC
rnacentral:rRNA from 1 species